rnacentral:rRNA from 1 species
UACGUAGGGUGCGAGCGUUGUCCGGAAUUAUUGGGCGUAAAGAGCUCGUAGGCGGUUUGUCGCGUCUGCUGUGAAAACUCGGGGCUUAACUCCGGGCCUGCAGUGGGUACGGGCAGACUAGAGUGCGGUAGGGGAGACUGGAAUUCCCGGUGUAGCGGUGAAAUGCGCAGAUAUCAGGAGGAACACCGGUGGCGAAGGCGGGUCUCUGGGCCGUAACUGACGCUGAGGAGCGAAAGCGUGGGGAGCGAACAGG